rfam:Erysipelothrix rhusiopathiae str. Fujisawa DNA, complete genome.
CUGGACGUACAACCGCACACUGUAAGGUUUAAGUGAUUCGUCCACCUUACUUGGCGAGUCUUAUGGCAAAA